UUCCCAAAUUUACAGAACAAUAGGCUUCACAUCCAAAGAGAGGCUAUGGGUUUCCAUUUCAGUGAAAAAAAUGUGGCUGAGAACAUGUACUUUUGAGUUAGAUGGCCUGGGUUCAAAUCCCAACUGAAAAACUUUCUAACUCUGUGACCUUGGGCAAGAUAGUAAACCUCUCUGUGCCUCAAGUUCAAUAUAUAUAAAGUGUGGGUAAUAAGAGUAGCCAUUUCAUAGGAUGGUUGUACAACUUAAAUGAAUGUAUAUUUGUCAGGUGACUAGAAUAAUGCAUGGCGCAUUCUUAAUAGAUGCUAACUUUUCUUAUUUGAUACUUUCUUCUUUUACUUUCCUCAGUAACAUUUUGUAGUCUGCUCCAUGUUGGUUCCAUAUGAGAAUGUUGGGAGGAUAAGAUGAGUCAACACGAUAAGAUGAGUCAACACACAGAAAAUACAGAACAGCAGAUGCCCCAUUGCACUGGGAAUUACAGCAGUGGAAAAAUAACAGACGAAAAUUCCUUCCCUCACUGGCCUCCCAUUCUUGUGGAAGUUUGACUCUAAGCAUUCUGCAGGUACAGACGCUAAAGGCCCUGGCUGCUGUGGCUUGGCCUGUUGCCUGGAGUUAAGUGAUGCUGUUCAUAACCUACUCAAGUCCUGGACCUCUUUGCCACCACUGGGACUGACAGAAUAAUAUUUUGAAAUAUCAUACUGAAGAAUACCAUGGUUUUAUGCAUUUUUCAUUUUCAGUUGAAUUCACAGUCUUAUUCUUUGUCUAUCUGAAUUCCUAUUGCUGGAAAUCAUCUGGAAGUUUCUGACAGAAGGAAUUUCCACAGCUGAGUAUGGCACCAGGGUCAAGCAUAAGAACUGUACUCUUGGCUGGGCAUGGUGGCUCAUGCCUAUAAUCCCAGCACUUUGUGAGGCCGAGGCAGGCAGAUCAAGAGGUCAGGAGAUCGAGACCAGCCUGGCCAACAUAGUGAAGCCCCA
rnacentral:lncRNA from 1 species